rnacentral:rRNA from 1 species
UCGGGCCUUGCGCUAUCAGAUGAGCCUAGGUCGGAUUAGCUAGUUGGUGAGGUAAUGGCUCACCAAGGCGACGAUCCGUAACUGGUCUGAGAGGAUGAUCAGUCACACUGGAACUGAGACACGGUCCAGACUCCUACGGGAGGCAGCAGUGGGGAAUAUUGGACAAUGGGCGAAAGCCUGAUCCAGCCAUGCCGCGUGUGUGAAGAAGGUCUUCGGAUUGUAAAGCACUUUAAGUUGGGAGGAAGGGUUGUAGAUUAAUACUCUGCAAUUUUGACGUUACCGACAGAAUAAGCACCGGCUAACUCUGUGCCAGCAGCCGCGGUAAUACAGAGGGUGCAAGCGUUAAUCGGAAUUACUGGGCGUAAAGCGCGCGUAGGUGGUUCGUUAAGUUGGAUGUGAAAUCCCCGGGCUCAACCUGGGAACUGCAUCCAAAACUGGCGAGCUAGAGUAUGGUAGAGGGUGGUGGAAUUUCCUGUGUAGCGGUGAAAUGCGUAGAUAUAGGAAGGAACACCAGUGGCGAAGGCGACCACCUGGACUGAUACUGACACUGAGGUGCGAAAGCGUGGGGAGCAAACAGGAUUAGAUACCCUGGUAGUCCACGCCGUAAACGAUGUCAACUAGCCGUUGGGAGCCUUGAGCUCUUAGUGGCGCAGCUAACGCAUUAAGUUGACCGCCUGGGGAGUACGGCCGCAAGGUUAAAACUCAAAUGAAUUGACGGGGGCCCGCACAAGCGGUGGAGCAUGUGGUUUA